GCCCCCGUAGCUCAGUGGACGAGAGCGCCUGGCUUCGGACCAGGAGGCCGCGGGUUCGAAUCCUGCCGGGGGUGCCG
rnacentral:tRNA from 1 species